rnacentral:rRNA from 1 species
UAUAGUCCACAUGUCAGUUAUUCACUACCUGGAUAUCCAUGGUAAUUCUAGAGCUAAUACAUGCGUCCAAACCCGACUCUUCGGAAGGGUUGUGCUUAUUAGAUACUGAACCAUCCCAGGCUUGCCUGGUUUCGAGGUGAUUGAUGGUAAUCAAACGAAUCGCAUGCCUUGUGCGGCGAUGAUUCAUUCGAGUUUCUGACCUAUCAGCUUCCGACGGUAGGGUAUUGGCCUACCGUGGCUUUGACGGGUAACGGAGAAUUAGGGUUUGAUUCCGGAGAGGGAGCCUGAGAAACGGCUACCACA